rnacentral:rRNA from 1 species
AUGAGCAGCGGCCGCCUUCUGGAUCCAGCAGCUUUGAGAAUCAAUUACUGCAGUUACCUACUAGGAAGGGUCGUCGUCGCGGCAGCGGGUGAUGGACUCGCAGCCGCGGGAGUAGGGGUUGGCGGUGGUGCUGACGCGGCAGUUGUAGUAGGGCACGCCGGGCCGGGAGCAGGGCACGGCGUCCCCCCGCAGCGCGUCGUAGCUGAUGUACCUCCGCCCGCCGCCGGUCGCCCACAGCAGCCGCCCGUGCGCCGCCGCGCCCGAGCCCAUCUGCGCUGCCUCCACCCCCAUGUCCAUGUCCAUGUCCAGGGUGGCCAUGGUGAUGGCGCCGUGGCCUCCUCUCCCCUGCACGAGGAGCAGCAGCAGGAGGAGGGGCAGCACGGGGGUGGCCGCCCAUGGAGGCAUUGCCGGAGGGGGAUGGGGAUGGGGGAGCUGAGAUCUCGGAGAGCGGAACAGUUGCUGUGGCUGGAUCUUUUCUCCCUGGAUGAGAUGAAAGAGUGGGGGAGAGUGGGGAGUGGAGUGGUGGAGGUGGCCUUAAAUGCAGUGCCACUGCCGACAGUUGUCCGUUGUGUCCCGUGGCCGUGGGGAACGGACCCGUGGGGUUUACAGUUUCCCUUCCUUGUCUUUUUACAGCUGGUUUCUCCUCGGGAACUGAAUCGUUCGACAGUACGCCCAUUUGGAAACGGAACACAUUAUCCACACACUUUUAUUACGGCCAUGAACUGA